CUCAGUUCUACUCCACCUCUGUGAGUCGGGUUCCAGUCCAAAAGCAACAAAAGUUCAUCAGCCCUCGUCGCUAUAAGCAAGAUGAAGAAACCAGGACCAAGAGGGGGUAAUGUGGCUUGUCCAUAGUCACACAGCUGACGCGCUGAAUUUUCUCAUCUGUUAAAUGAAGAAGUUGGACUUUCUGUCAAAAUGGCUAUCCGAACAGAGGCAAACUGGCCAUCUCCCCCAAACCCCUGAAGUUUGCGCCAACCCAAAUAAUAAGAAAUGCAAUAAGAAAUUACAAUCUAACUCUGUAACAACUACAGGCAGAGACUCAAAGAGGAAAAAAAAAUGGAUUCUCCAUAAGGACUACAUGAAUACCUAGAAGAAAUGAAAA